CACAUUGGAGAGUUUCUUGAUGAAAAUUUGAAUACUAAAAAUUAUUAAAAUUGUUUUUUAGUAUUGGUUGGAGCAACGAAUAUGAAGUUAAAUAUAAUUCUAUAGAAAAUGACUCUCACCAUUAAGUGAACAUUAUAAUUACUCUUUAAUUUAGGUAAUUGAUAAAUCUGUUGCCUUUUAUUGAAUACUAAUUAUUAUUUAUGUUUUACAAUUUGGGUGAAACAGGAGAAGCAACUACUGUUAGUGGAAAAUAAAAUGGCAGAUGAGAGUACUGUUGCGAAUCACUUGAAGACAUUCACAUUGUAGAGGCAUUAACCAGAGUUCAGGGCUGUCAAUGAGAGCUUAUCUCAAACAUGAAUAUUUUGCUUUGGUUUUUGAGUGUUUAAUUUCCUUUUAUUUUGGGUUUGAUUGAGUGUGUGGAAUUGGUUUGAAUAAAAUUGUUUCUGAGAUUCUAUGCAAGAA